GGUACCUACGAGGGGCAGCAGUGGGGGAUAUUGCACAAUGGGGGGAACCCUGAUGCAGCGACGCCGCGUGGGUGAAGGAGCGUUUCGGCGCGUAAAGCUCUAUCGGCAGGGAAGAAGAUGACGGUACCUGACCAAGAAGCCCCGGCUAACUACGUGCCAGCAGCCGCGGUAAUACGUAGGGGACAAGCGUUAUCCGGAUUUACUGGGUGUAAAGGGGGCGCAGACGGCAAUGCAAGUCUGGAGUGAAAGCCCGAGGCCCAACCCCGGGACUGCUCUUGGAACU
rnacentral:rRNA from 1 species